rfam:Strongylocentrotus purpuratus Contig114218_fixed, whole genome shotgun sequence.
GGCAUGGUGGCUUAGUGGUUAGAGCGCCCGCCUCAUGAACGGGAGAUCGUGGGUUCGAACCCCGGCCGAGUCA